UUGUUUACCGGAUAGUGCGAUGAUUUAACGGUGCUGUCAUUAAGUUCCCGUUAUCCGUAGAUGAAAGGAAGCUCAAAUCAGGAUUUUCUCCCGCGAGACUCGCUUUUCUUGUCAAAAGCCCACGAGCUUCUCUGACGCGUCACGGAUCAGCUGCGGGCGGCCAAUGAGAAGCGAGCGCACGCGCUUGAAAAGCGUUUCCAUCUGCUGCUCUCCGCAGAAUCAAAACAAAGAUCAGCAGCUCACAGGCACUUCUCAUGUGCGACAGUCUUCAUUAACUCGUAAAGAGAAAGUGAGCACCUUGAAGAACAUGUAUUCAUCCUUGACUGAUGAUUAUGUUCAUCAUGAAAGUCAGAUGAAGAGUGAAAAUGAGAAGCUCAAAAGAGAACUGGAGCAACACAAACUCAAAGAAAGAGAGUGGGAACAAAAACUCAAGGAAGUGGAGGACAGAUUAAGACUGGAGACAGAUUUGAGGAGAAGAGAGAAGGAACUAGAGUCCAAAGAGAGAGGAACGACAAAGAAAGAGCAGGACAUCCUGUUUUGUGGAGAAAAUCAUGUGCUACAUCUAACUUCUCCUGUGGGUAAGUAUUGUUCAAGUAAACCUGACACCAAAAUUUUAAUUCUACAGGUUAAGUCAGGUUCAGCGAGCUUUAUUGUCAGCAUCUGCGGGAUACAGUAGCUACCAACCACAGAAAAUAUUUGAAAAAUCAUGUUUACUGCACUUGCAACAAAAGUUUACACAAGGACUUAAACGGCUGCUCAAUCCUGUUCUUGGAGAUCUACCGACAUCCAGAGUUCAAAUCCAACCCUCAUCAAACACACCCAUCUGUAAUUAUCAAGUGCUUUUGAGGAUCUCAAUGAGCUGCUUUGGUUGUGUUUGGUCAUGGUUGGAGCCGAACAUUGCAGUUAGAUCACCAGGAAGAGGCCUGGGCAUUUCAGUCUAAAACACUGGCCUAGUUUACUUUCAUUACAAAUGCCUUACUCUAACUGACAUUGUUACAAAUUUCAUAGACAAAUAGUUCACUGAAAAAUGAAAAUAUGCUGGUUUAGGCCAUUCAAGUUGUAGAUGAUGGUGGGGUGGUGUUGGCCCAGUGGAUAAGACACAUGCCUUUGGUGUGAGAGACCUGGGUUCUCGCACCCAUUCACUGCAGAAGAUCCAAUGUGUCUGAAGAAAAGCAGAGAUCUCUAGAUGAAAGAAAAGGAGAGUGGAAGAGCAAAGAUGAAGAAGAUUCACAUGACAGUGAAUCACCUGAGUUUGGAAAACCUGUGAGACGCAAGAGCAGCCAAUUUGAGAUCCCUAAUAUGACUGAAAGUGAAGAUGAACACCUAAACACACUCCGAAAUCACAGACGUCAAUUGGAGGAUUCAACAUAAUUUUACUCAACUUCAUCAAUAUUCAGUAGACAACUCAAAAUGUGGUUAAAGGUCAAAUAUCCAAUCCAUCUACAGUACAUAUGUGUGAAACACCUCACAGCCUUUAAAAACAUGGAGAUAUAACACACAACAGUUUCAAGUUACUAUGGAUUCUGGGCAGCUGAGCAAGAAGUGAUGUUAGAAAAGGAAAGCAUGCUUAAAAAAAUAACUUAUAAAUGAAUAAAAAUGCUUUAUGUGAAAAUAACCCUUACCGUACAGGAUUUCAGAAAGUGCGCAGAGUCUUGCGUGCACACUUAUGUGGAUUUUAGUACACCAAGCUUAGCGUGUGUACCUAAAGGUUCCUAAGCAUCACAGAGGUGCUGAACCGCACAGGAGAGGCAAGCUCAAACUUUACCUCUGGCGAGGGAAGCAUCACAUGAGGCAGCAUAUACAAGAAUACUUCUGUAACUGCAACCUCCACUUCCCGCUGGAUGCAACAGCACCCCUAAGCGGCCAGGAGACUCCUCAGGUGAACUGGCCAUACAUCCAUGAAAUUCCCUGCAGUGCUGUGCCAGGCCUGAUGAUCAAGGAGGCUCCCUCAGAAACGUGUGAUCUCAGCCGCCUAAUACUGGAACAUGAAGCCGGAUGGCUGGUGCUGGGGAGUGUUUAGUAAACCCUGUAACUGAGCACUGCAAAGGAAACUCAAAGUUUAUUGGUAUACACAUAACCCCCAGCAAUUUAAUAUACGUAAGUGUAUAUACAGAAAGGGUUACAUACUCACUCACCCUCCUGCGCUUGAGCCCCGCUCAAGGGGCAUCUCCUUUUAGUCUGGACUAUCAGUAAGAUGGUUGCUGUGAACAUAGAACCAGCCAAAAACAUUAUAGGUCCAACAUAGGAGACUGUUAUGCGAGGGUUUUCCAACUAACCUUGCCUUCGUCUCCCUGAACUUCUUGAUCACCAUCUCCAAGGAAAUACUGAAAAGUUCAGUAGGCAAAACCUGAGCAUCGAAAAGAAAGAAAAGGUUUCGACCUAUACUCAGGUCAGUCAAUCAGUGAUCAGUUGAAGGACUUCUCAAUAGUAAAUAAUAUUCUUAUUCCUUUUCAAUCAGGUUUUAGGAAAGGGUAUAGCACCAUCACAGCAGCCACAAAGGUAGUUGUUGAUAUUGUUAGUGCUAUUGACUGUAAAGAAUCUUGUGCAGCAUUAUUUAUUGAUCUUUCAAAAGCUUUUGAUACGGUUGAUCAUGCUAUUUUGUUAAAACGUCUGUCUAAAAUCGGGAUGUCUGAUAAUGCUAUUGAAUGGUUUAAAAACUAUCUGUCUAGUCGAUAUCAGUGUGUCACUUGUGAAGGCAUUAUAUCAGGGGAGGCAGAAUUAAUGGUUGGAGUCCCUCAAGGUUCCAUAUUAGGGCCUUUGUUGUUUACGAAAUACAUAAAUGAUAUCUGUACAACUGUAGAUGUAGCUGCACAUCUCUAUGCGGACGAUACUAUUAUAUACAGUACUGCUAGAUCUCCGUAUGAGGCAUUAAAUAAAUUGCAGGAUGCUUUUACAGUUUUACAAAAAAAUCUACUUAAAUUAAAAUUGGUACUAAACUCUAAAAAGACCAAAUUUAUGUUAUUUACUCAUUCUAGGAAUGUACAGGAUUUGCCUCAAAUUAUUACUCUAUAUGACCAGAAAAUUGAAAGAGUGUCAUGUUAUAAUUAUCUGGGUUUUUUAUUAGAUGAAAAGCUCACUUUUAAUCCACAUGUAAAUUGGUAAAAAAGCUGAGAGUUAAAUUAAGAUUUUUUUUAUGGAAAUAAGGCUUGUUUUAAUUUAAAGACAAGAAAGGAACUUGUUGCUGCUACCUUUUUAUCUUAUAGACUAUGGAGAUGUUCUGUACAUGCAUGCAGCAAAGUCUGUUUUACGGUCAUUGGAUUCUGCUCUACGCUUUGUCACUAAAGCAGAGUAUUUUACACAUCAUUGUAGUUUGUAUAGUUUAUCCGGUUGGCCUCCACUCUCAAUCCAUAGACAGUAUCACUGGCUUAUUUUUAUUUAUAAAGCAGUGUUAGGACUAUUGCCUUCUUAUUUAUCAGUUUUCUAUUUUGUAGAAAACAAUAGAUACAAUCUUAGGUCUAAUAAUAGCAUUCUUUUUUCUACACCUGCUGUAAAAUCUGAAUUUGGUAAAAUCGCCUUCCGUUACAAUGCUCCAACAUGGAAUGCUUUGCAGAAACAGUUGAAGAUAAGCACUAUUAUCCCACUUAAUGAUUUAAAAUAAUAUGUCACAGAAACCUUCAGCUAUAAGUGUGAUUGUAUAUAGACUGCUGUUCUGUUUUGAUUCUUUUAUGGAGCUUCAUGUAGCUGUCAUACUCCGUGUAGUAGGAUGUCUUGGUUAUUUUGUUAUUGUGUUAUUUUGUUUGUUGUUGUAUCUGACUUUUGUCUUUGUUAUGUGUUGUGGUAUGGUUUAUUUGGUGUUGAUAUGUUAUUGUGUAAUUUGGUAUGCUUUGUUUGUUUUAGAUGGUUUUUUUUAUUUUUUAUUUGUAUUUUCUUUUCUUUUCUUCUUUUUACAUUUUAAGUGCUGCCUUUCUUGGCCAGGGACCAUUUGAAAAAGAGACUAUCGUCUCAAUAUGAUUUCCCCUGGUUAAAUAAAGGAAUAAAAAAUUUUAGACAUAUUUUACAGUCAAUCAAAGCUAAACUGAUUUUGCAUAUUAUAGUCAAUGAUCAGCAUUUUAACAGUCAGCUCAAAUGCUAUAGAUCGUAAAUCAAUACUCUGAUCAGAAAUCAUCCCUGAACACCAGCUCGAGUUCAUGACACGAGAGCAAUGUCGUGUUCCCAGGUCGUGUUCUUCCGUUUCCAGCUGACGAAACUUAAAAACAAUAACAUCAAAAAUAUAGCCGCAAGCUGCAAUCAUCUGGAUCUGAUCACACAUAUCUCAUGCAGAUGAAUACAGGUGCAUGAUUCAAAUGUGUGUGUGACACUGGAUCUUAUAGCUCUUUCUCUGUUUUCUGUUUGGAAGAUCUCUAUUCAGGAUUAUUGCUACUGUAAUGUUUUGCCAAUAGUUAGCACUGUGUUACAUAUGUUACAUGCUUAAAAUAAAGUUGUUGCUGUUU